UACGGAGGGUGCAAGCGUUAUCCGGAUUUACUGGGUUUAAAGGGUGCGUAGGCGGACAGGUAAGUCAGUGGUGAAAUCUUCGAGCUUAACUCGGAAACUGCCUUUGAUACUAUCUGUCUUGAAUAUUGUGGAGGUAAGCGGAAUAUGUCAUGUAGCGGUGAAAUGCUUAGAUAUGACAUAGAACACCUAUUGCGAAGGCAGCUUACUACGCAUAUAUUGACGCUGAGGCACGAAAGCGUGGGGAUCAAACAGG
rnacentral:rRNA from 1 species